UUUGUGAAAGUGUCUUUUAGACUUUUCCAUUUUUUCUGAACCUCCAGAAAAAAUGGAAAGGUCUAAAAGACACUUUAAAA
rnacentral:pre_miRNA from 1 species